ACACAGAGCAAAGGGGUUCUUCUCUUGAACCCUAACUCACUAAAAUCCAUCAAAAUCAAAGGGAAAUCAAGCUAGAAAAUUGGGGCUUUAAGUAAAUUCGUGAUCACCCAACCUAGGAGAUCACAAGGCAAAGCGGGUGAAUCGUCAAGCAGUCAAGUUGGAAUGGACACGCGCUUGAAGGAUAGCUUUAAGGUGAACUCUAAAACUUUUGGAUGAAGAUCAAGUAUCGUGCAAGAACCAAACACACCCCAAUUUGAAGCUUCCGCGUUGAUCUUUGUUUAGUUUUGAUAUAUGACUCAUGUAGACACAUUAUAACUAUAUUUUGAAUGUUUUAAAUUUAAACAAACAUCGUUAUGUAGAUGUUUUUGUAAAGUGACAAUUUUGCAUAAAAAUGCAAACUUUAAAUGAUGAAGUAUUAUUAAA